rnacentral:lncRNA from 1 species
ACAGGGAGGGGAUUAAUCAACCAGAGGCGCACUAGAAUCUCUAAGAGGCAGUCAGGGUAGGGCGACGGAAACGGUUCUGGACGAGUCCUGAUUUCGAUACUUCGCGCCCCGUGGGUCAAGUCAAAUCUCUCCUUCAUGAGGCCAGAGGCAGCUUGGUGCUUUGGAAAAAGCCAGGAUCUGGAAUCGGGAGCAGGCUUUCUAUCUGCCACCUGACCUUAGGGAAAAUUACUUUGUCUCAGUUCCCCCAUCUAUAAAAGAGGAAAUGACAGUAUAUAGAUCAGGAAAUUGAGACCUGGAGAGACCAAGUGAAUACAAGUUCAUACAGGUAAGCAAAUGUCAGAGAAAGGAUGAGAACCCAGAUACUUUGACUCUGGGGGGGUCAAGGUUCUGUUUCAUUGUGCUGUGUGUGAUAUAUCCUUGAGAAGUGGGCACUAGCAAAUUGAGGGAUGAGGGAAGGCAUGGAUAGUGAACACACAGGAACUAUAUGAACACAAUUACAAAACACCUUUCACACAAAUAAAGACAGAUCUAGAGGGCA